CAACUAUCUUGGUCAGCAUCCCAGCCCAGGUGUGAAUCAACACUGGCACAUUAUAUCAAAGUGCAGGAUGGUGGCUGAAGGCAGAAGCUCAUCUCCUAUGUAAACACCUAAAUGCCAAGUCUGGACUUCAAAAACAGAUUCUGAAAGUUUAACCAGCAUUAUGGACAAAAAGUAUAUACUUCGAACAGACACAAAAACAAAUAGGUCCAUGCCAAGC